rnacentral:lncRNA from 1 species
CUACUUUGAGCAUGCAUUUUAUAGAUUCAAAGGCUCCUGAAACGUCCCAAAGAUCCCACACCAAGAAUACCUAUUUUAAUGUCAUUGUGAAGAAACCAGCAAACGGUAUUGUUCCAUGAUCUAAAACUACAGUUAAGUGACCCUGACUUUGAAGUAGAUAAAGAUCAAGUCUUGGAAACUGAGAGUUUUGGCUUAGAUUGCAGCAUCAGCACAUUGUUCUCAACACCAGCCUGGACCAACUGUUUCUCCUGGGAUGGUGAGAAGGUUGGAAACACCUGAAAGAGUGAAGUUGCUUGAGAGUGAUUAUGUGGGGUUGGAAAUUUCAUCAGCAUGCUCACCACAUUGUUUAUAGAAAGCCACAUCUUUACCCUUGUGUUGGCAACUUCCACGAUUCUAAAGGUUAAUGAUUCUGUGGAUCCAGGCCUCACAUAUACUGAACCUUUCAAAAGCUUCAUUUAUCUUUCAUUUGGAGGAUUUCCCAAUGACUUUUAAUUACAUGUAUUCUCUGUUGGCAGGAGUAAGGCAAUGAAGUACAAGGCUUUGUAUACCCUUCCUCACAAAGCCAAUACGGUGUAUUUGCUGUUAAUGAACAGAUGGAAUGCAGGGGAUGCAGUUGCAAAGAAAAACCCACAGUUAAGUGCUGCUUGCUUACAGAGGCAAGCCUGGGAAGGCAGCUCCAGUAACAUUUCCAUGGUGUAUUUCAUGGUCUGUUUGGACACCUGAAGUUUUCACUGGGGUUGCUCUCUUGCUGCUGGGAGCACCACUUCCGGACUAAACUGAAGGCUACAGAAUCAGCACACUUAAACUAUGCUGAUAAAGAGCUGAAGAAGAUGCUUGGGGAGGGAGGGAAAGAGAGGGAAGAGUCAUGUGGUGAUUAUCAGAGCAGGUGAGGCCCACAGUGGUGCUUCUCAGGAGCACUGAAGAGUACUCUAUUAUGCAAGGUGAGAGGAGACAAGAAACAGACCUCGUUUCUCAAUACCUGUGACGCCUUGCUCCCAAAGCAAUGAAUCCAUCUUCCUGCCUCUUGGCAGCACAGCACUCACAUAGAUUGAUUGGGAGAGGGUUCUCCCCCCCUUCAUUUUUCUAUGUUCCCAAAGAAAGGCAUUCUAGCCUUUCUUAACCUUACAUUCCAGAGUCUCACAGUGACUAUACUCAGGAAAUACUUCCUCAGGUUUAACUAAAUCCCUCUCUGCAAUAUGAGACCAUCGCUAUCCUCCAAGGACUCACAGAACAGCUGCCUGGCACCUUGCCAGUCACACCAUUCCACGUUUCCAUUGUUCAGGGGAGGAACAGCUCUAGGCUUUUGCUGAUUGGCUCUUACCACCCAGCAGGAACUCAGGCCAGAACACCAAGCUGCUCUGAGGUUGCUUUGCUGGGACUAAAAGUACUUUUGGGGGGCACUAUUAUCCCAGGACUCUGAAGUCAGUAUAUGUGACGUAUCCAUUUCUGAGAAUAAUAUGCUCUGAGAGGGGACUGGAAAGCUGACUGGAAAUGUUUUUGUGGUGCUUUACCUAGGAUUAUACCUGUUGUGCUUUUAAAAUACCAGCUCCGGUAGCCCAGGCUGGUCCUAAGGUUACUAUGUAGCCAAGGAUGGCCUUGAACUCCUGCUCUUCUUGCCAUUGCCUCCUCAGAAGUGCUAGAAUUCUCCUGCCAUGUGUCAUUAUGCCAGGCUUUAUAACUCUCACUUUUUAAAGAUAAAGAAAGCUCAAUCAAAGGAAGGCCACAUAUGUAAGAAAAGAAGUCAUGGGUUGGCCCUCAAAUUAUGAGAGUACAGGUUUUCUGUCCCUUCUAAUAUACAAAAGUGGCUUUGCAGGGAUCACUAACCAUGUGUGUUCUGUCUUUUUCGACCUUAGUGUAACAAAUAGCAGAAGCCAGUGCAGAAGAAAAGGAGCACAAAGGCCCAUGGAAAACUACAGACAAGGUCAAGUUUUCAGUCACUAUAAAUGUGAAACCAGUUAGAGCAUUUGGUUAGCAAGACAAGAAGAAACUGGGAUAGGCAGGGAGGUGGUCUUGGGAAUUUUUGGAGACAGAUAGUUCUGCUGCCCAGCCCAGACCUGAACUCUAUUCACUAUUCAAGCUUAGGUAAGCUCACUCUCACUGAGCUUCAGUGUUAUCAUUUUGGAAACAGAAGAAUAAUACUUUCACAGGAUUAGUAAAAUAAAAAGUAAAUGACAAGUAAUAAUGAAUGAGCAGUCAAAUAGGAGAAGCUAAAUAAAGGUUUAAACGAUCAUAUUCAGGAGUGAACAGAGCAAAUCAAAUGGAGUUAGAUUAGGAAAGGUUUUAUGGAAGAAGAGAGAGAUUGUGACUUGGGGAAGAAGACAAGGUAAGCUGCCAUUCUUAGUCCCCACCUCCUUCAGGGAUGUCAUUUGGGCCUUUGAAAGUGAGAACCCACACUGUCUGUCUCCAUAAGCCAUGGUGUCUCAUAUUCCUGUAACAGCCUGUCACAGGAGAGACCAUGGGUGGAUAGAUGGCUUAUGUGAUUCCAGGAGAUGCAUUAAAGCAAUAGAGUGAAGAGUCACUUUGGUAUAACACCAUUAAAACUUGAGUGUGCUGUGAUGUUGAACAAUUGUCAGUACAUAUAACUUCUGGAAAUGUUAAAUCUAAUGACUUGACUUGCUUGCCAUGAACCUGUUGCUUCUGAUUUAUAUGGGAUAAAUGACCUUUCAAGACCCCAUAAAUUAUUGGAAAUGGGGCUGUUGCAAUUUUUGGACACUUCCUAUUGAUUAAGUAAAUCAUCUACUAAAUGGAAAUCCAAUUUGAAAGGAAUACAUUUAAAUGAAUUAAUAAGUGUACUGAUAUGGCAGAAUAGCAGAAGUAGCAAGAAAGGAUUCUAGAAUUGGUGGGAAACUUUUAAAUAAGCUUUAAACACUCAGGAGCCAGAGAGGGAAACCACUGGGUGCUCAUAUGGACUGUGGCAAAAGAGCUUUUGACAUUUGCCCAACCCAGUGUGGAUCUGUGGAAUGCAAACCACAAGGCCACAAUUAUUUCCAAAGGCAUGCAGCACUUCUUGUGGCCAAAUGAUAAGCUGGUUAAGGUGCCCAGACUAAAGGAUUGUGGGAAAUACAGCCUGUGCUUCCAUGCUGCCAAGUCAUGAUGUGGGUUUCUGUGGCUAGUGAAAUGAAGCCAGAGGGUUUCACAGGCUUCAUCACCCUGAAAGCUCCUGCAUGGACUGCUAGAGGCACACAGGGGCUCUGGUCUGGGAAUCCAAUCCAGAGCCUGCUAGGAAAGGAUUUCCCCAAAUACAGAUGACAAAAUAGAAAAAAGGAGAGAGAUAAUCAUGUUUAUUGAAAGUCCACUCUGUACCAGGUAUUGUGUGCAUUAUUUUAGUCAAUCCUCUCAGCAAUUUCAACACAGAGCUUCUAGACUCAUUUUUAGAAGCUUAAUGUAGAGUUGUGACUUUAACCAUGGUCUGAUGGGCUCUGAAGCAUAGGAGGACUGUGGCUUUUUGGUCUCACGAAUUUACCUCUGCAAAAUACAAUACAAUUCACUGAGCUGUUAGUAUGCAUAUGUUGGCUUAGAUGAGCACGGGCUUCAAAGUUGCAUCCAUAUCAUAAAACAUGGGACCACUGAGUACUUGGAUUAAGAGGUUUAAAGUUUAUUCCAAUGUACAUUAGAAGUCAUAGAAGGUUUUAGAAAGAAGUUGAGAUUGGGGUUGUCUUAGUUGGCUUUCCAUUGCUGUGAUUAAUACUAUGUCCAAGAGCAUCUUGGGGAGGAAAGGGUUUAUUUGUCUUUCAGUUCCAUGUCACAGUGCAUUACUGAGUGAAGUAAGAACAACAACUAAAGACAGGAAUCUGGAAGUAGGAACAGAAGCAGAGAACAUGAAGAAAGACUGUUCCCCAUGGCUUCCUUGGACCACAUUCUUAUACUGACUAUAACCACCCAUCAUGAGUGUCGCUACCACAUCCACUAGUGGAUUUGGCCCUUACAUUUCAAUCAUGAAUCAAGGAAAUGCCCCACCAACAUGCCUAUGGGAAUCUGAAUGAAGGAAUUUUGCCAAAUGAGGUUCUUCUUCCCAGAUGACUCCAGUUUUGUCAAGUUGACAGAAAACAAAAACAAAAACAAAAAAACAGGAUAGGGGUAUGGUCAUAAUUUUCUUUCCCACUUUUAGAUUGGAAUUCACUAUUCUAGGGUGUAAGAAGAGAUCAACUGGAAAACCAAAUGAAGAGGAGGAAGCAAGCCCCGGCUCUGGGAAGGUAGCAAUAAAGCUUUGGGUUAAGUGCUAAUCAGAGGCAUGGCAGAUUACAUGCCCAUCGGCAUUGUACAGAAACAUUUCCCGUGGUCAGUCCUCCAGAAACAUGUAGUUUCCCAUAAAAGGUGGAGCCUAUGUCUUCUCUCAUGAACCCGGGCAAGCCUUUGUGACUGCUUCAACUUAUGGUGUAUGACCAAAGGGUACUAUGACCUUCAAGGGCAGGUCAGAGACAGCAAUACAAGUAUACCUGGUUCUCUUUGUCUCAAGAUGUGGCCAUUGUAAGCUUGCUGUUACACUGUAGAAAAACUAGCUAUCCACAUAGACAGGACCAUGCUGAAAGAAAUGGGCUUCAGCUGAGCUCCCUGUCGAUAUAGAUUGCCAUGUUACUAACUAUCUGAGGAAGACAUGAUGGAGCAGGACUAAAUUUAUGCAUUUAGUUGAUGAGUCCUGUGUGGCACAGAACAGAACUGAGGUAAGGUUUCCUGUCUAAGUCCUACCCAAAUUACAAAUUUGUAAACAAGCUUGGUUACAUUACUAAGUUUGCUGGUGAUUUUUAUUGUGUUGGUAGACAGGUAACCAAACUGACACCCAUCACAAAAGGAACCAACCAGACAAGGGUUUGCUGGUCUGUCAGCCAAUGGCAAAUGACAACUCACCCCGUCAAGUGACAGUGACAAGUGACAACAGACCUUUGUCAGCUGUACUUACUCAGCUGUGCCCUAUUACUCUGGGAAGUGAAAAGUUUUGGCUUGGAUGUACCAUGCAUCCAUUGAUAGUCAAUGUGUUUCCAACCAUCUUGUUUCUAGAAUGUACAUUUUUAGAGAAGUGGGCAUAGACAAAUGAUCUGAUAGAAAAACACACACAGUCUACUGACUGUGUCUUAGACAAAGUGUUAGACCUUUCAUACCUUUUUUCUCACCAAAUACAAAUGAAGAAAAAAAACUCCUCUAGAGUCCUACACUGAUUAAUAUACAACCAGUGUGUGCCAGGUAUAAGAUUCAAACUCAAGCCUGAGUCCAUUGCUUUGCCUCUUUCCUCUACAUCGUCUUCCAUGCUUCACCCCAGUUUAUUUCAGUUUGAUUUUGACACAUGUGUACUGUCGGCUUUUAUUUUCAGCACUAGUGAGUGGUGUUCAUUGCAGCAUUCAGCUACAGUGCUACAUCCCCAGGCCCACUGUUGACUUUUUGCUGGGGAUUUAUUUUCCCUCCUGAGCAAGCUAGUUACCUUUCUUGGCUACUAUUCUUAAAGGAAGAGUUUCAUUCCUGAAGCAUACACUCCACGGCCCCUGAUAUUGGAAGCAGAUGGCCUACAGUAUGUUGUGAGACAUGGGAAUCAAAAUUAAAAAAAAAAAAAUUCUGUCACGGUUUUGGAAUGCUGUGCUUCGAUGCUGAGAGGAGGCUUUUCAAAGGGGUUUUUUCUUCUUCAUUACGUUAGCCAUUGCCUUUGUUUACAGGACUCUUGAGGUCAGGGUGAAGACGUGUCUUACAAAUUGAAGUGCACAGAGUUAGCCGUGUGGAACUUCUAGUCCUGCACCCUCCUUAGGCUCCUGAGGAAGCAAGAUCCUCACACAGGCGUCUAGAUGUUUGAAUGGAAAGAGUCCCCACUCUCACUUUUUGGGAUAAGAGGCUAUGGGACCAAUAAGACGUGAGUCCUCUGCCUGUGGCAUGUUCAGUGACUGCUGAAAGUACGUACCAAGGUUCCACCAUUUUGUCCUGGCAUAACCUCUGCCCACGGUGACCUUGCUCAAGCCAUUAACCGCUCAUCUUUACUCAUGAGUUCCUAGGGGACAGCUGUGCUCUGCCAGAGCUUGAAAUCUCCCUACUGAUUUCAAGUCGCUUCUGAAACAUAAGCCAUCAGAACAUCAUCCAAAUGUCCUCUCAAUAAUCCAGAUGCAUCAUUCUCCCUCCCCUGCAACAGUCAUUCGUUUCUUUCUUAGCAGGCUGUUUUCCAAACCUUUGACACGGUGCCACACCUCAUCAUUGCCACCACCACGGAACAUGCCAGUUUGUCAGUUUUAAUCUGUCUAAAAUCCUGCUACCACCAGCACAAACCUUUGGAUUUCUUAUAUGUUGAUACAAAGAUUUCACACAUUGAUUUUUGUGGAGCUCUGAUUUCAUGCAAGCUAAGCAAACAGUGGCAGGUUGGUUGUUGGGGUAAUGAAUGCUCCAUCAGAUUAAUAGAAAUCGAUGGCAUUGGCAGGUUCUGGAGGAGACGCAGGGUCUGGGAUCUGGACAGCACACUCUGCCAGAACAAGACAGAUGGUUAGAAGCCAACACUCUUACCUCUUUAACUUGAUGGGCUCAUUAGCAGAUUUCCCUCCUUUGGGUCUCAUUUGAGUUUCUUGAUUUUAAAUGGCACCCUGUAGAUUGCCCACUAGUCUGGAAAACUACUGACAGAGGCUUCCCAUGACCUGGCAUAGAGAAUAUUCUACUACCCAAGGUUUAUUCAGUAGCCCAGACAGCUAGGAUUUUUGCAAAUAGGUGCUGGGAUACUGCAUCUUUAGUGAACCACUUGGAUGCAGGAAAUUAAUGUUUCCUAAUUAAGAACCAUCGUUUCUCUAAACAAAUGUGCAGAAAAAGAUCAAAUCCUGUAUUAGGCACAUGAUUUGUGUUGAAGCCAUGAAAGGUACAUGACAUUGUCAUCACCAUUGUAUUUACUCUCCUUACUUUGUAGGCGGGGAACUGAGGAUUGGGAAUUUUGUCUCAAAGAAAAGAGUUAGAGAAUGAAAAAGACAGAAUUUGUCUCUAGGUCUACUGUGGUCGCCCACACUGGGAACGUUUCAUUUUAUCAUUGGUCUCAAUCACAAAGGCAGAUGGCUAAGCCUGUGGCCAGCAUUUCUGGCACUAAAUUACUUACUACUGUGACUUCUCCCUUCUUCUUGCAGAUCCCAGGGAUUCUCAGCUUUCUUUCUCUUCCUUUUAUUGUUUUGAGACAUGCUUCCAUCCUCAGGGUUCUCUCUUCUCCCCUACUUUUGUUCCAAAUGAGUAUCACUGAGGGGAAAUAACAGUGUGGGAAGGAAGCUUCAGAUCUGCCAUGGUUCUUAUAGUCAAGAUUCAACCAACAGAGACAGAUUCUCUCUCUCUCUCUCUCUCUCUCUCUCUCUCUCUCUCUCUCUCUCUUUCUCUCUCUCUCUCCCUCUGUCUCUCUCCCUCAAAUGUCUCAUUGUUGUUUGCAGUGAUUUCCUUUCCAGGUGGCAUCUUAUGUUUUCUUUUUAUUUGGGUUGGCUUCUUCCACUGUAACUGGAGAGGGCUGCUUAGAUUAUAGAGAUGACGCUAAAUCAGUUUACACUUUUUACCCAAGUUUGAGUUAUUUCUACAUUUUUUUAUCUGUCUAUUAGUGGCCAGUCUCUCAAAUAGAUAAAAUUCCUAUCAAAGACCCCAGAAGCUCACCCACAUGCUUCAAACUGCCCUCUAUGGAUGCUUCUUCACCCUGAGAGCCAUCUCCUGUUCCUGAUGCUGGUAUAUAUCCUGGUAAUUUGCCGACUCCUCUGCUGCCUCUGGCUGUCUAACAUCUUUUUCCACACUCUGCUUGUGAGCAUCACCACACUGUUUUCAAUCACUUUACUCACCUCUUUGGAAGCAGUACUACUCUUGCUUUUCCUAGCUUCAUACUUCCCCUCUAUCUUACUUUUCUAUCCCUUCCUCAUGUCAAACCCACUGUUCAGCCAUGCUUUUACUUUUCAGACUUGACAGAAGUUGUCCUGGGAGGUGAAUAUGGCUCAUGGUUCCAAUAUCACCAUAAUAAUGACUCAAAAGUUUUCACACCUUAACUCCAAAAUAGCAUCCAGUGGGAAAUGUCCAGGCAGAGUGCACUAUUAAUCUUUAACAUACUGCACCUUAACUUCGUAUUUCUGACCUUCCCAUCUUCCCAGAAUUCUGUUAGUACAUAAAAUUCAUUCCUUUAACUGUUUAGUCCUGUUUAUAAAUCCAUUCAUUUAUUCAUUAAUUUGUCCAAUACACAUUUACCAAGUGUGCAUUCUGGGUCAAGUUUUAGGCAAGGAGGUGGCAGCUCAAGAGCAAAUGACAUAUCUUGAGUUUGACACUGAAGGUCUUCCAUCCCUUAAUAUCACAAACUGUUCUCCCAUUGUCCCCAGCAUAUCUAAGAUCUGUAGCCUAACUAGUUUCCAACAUUCACACUAAUGAGUUUUUUUCUCACCUUUGUGUCUCUGGCCUUUUGUUAUUCCUGCCUGAAAUAACCUCUUCCCAUGUUUCUGUCAUCUAAAAAGUCAAUAUUUCCUACAAGUCACUUGUGUCUUAAGAGUAUUAGCAUAAUUCCAUUUCCAUUUUCUACCUCCCUAUAGGGUGUUGUGACUCAAUGGUCCCUUCUUUCUACUGUGAUCAUAGGAAUUAGGAAGGCAUGUCAGAGUAUUUUGGUAGCAUGUUUGUCUUAGAGUCCUUUAAUGAGGUUUCUGUAGCAAGGAAAAACUUCCUGAACAAGGACAAGAUUAAAGCACUCUUCUACUUACUCCUUUAUUAUUCCAUUAAUGACAGAGCUCUUUGAAAAAAUAUGGGUUUCCAGGGGGUGUGAGCCUGUUCUAGGAUGGCUAUAAAUGCAUCUGGCUUCCUGAGCCCUGGAUGUUCUCGGUCUGCUCCUCUGAAGCCUAACAGCACUUGCUGGCAGAUUCAAGCCUGACUACAGGAGAAGCUAAUGUAGACUAUGAAAUACCAGACUACUGUGAGCAAACUGCAACAUGUAAGAAUUCUUCUGAUGCCCAUGGAACUUCAAAACAGACCUCUUCUAGAUGGUCUCGCUUGACUGGAUGCUCAAUAACCCCCAACACCAUAUGGGAAAUACAAUCUGGAAUUUUAUGGAGAAGGAGCAUGUCAGCCCAAACCAUAAAAUACACAUUUUCUUCAACUUCUUUAUGAUUUAUCCAACUGAGAAAGUCCUUAGAGUUGACCUCCACUGUUCAGAUUAUGGCAUCUACUACACAAGACUUGAUCCAUGACAAAUCUGCCAUUAUCACUGGUAGAUGUCCUUAAGGUCAUGGAUGCAUGCUAAAAUCACUAGUAUGGGAGCCUGCUUUCAUCAAGAAAUUUUCCUACGGCCUUUGAAGACACUUUCAACUGCUAAGUAACUAGACCUUAUGAAAGAACCCAUCUAGAACUUCCUAAGACAGAACACAGAGUCACUGCAUUAUAACUACUGUAUUAUGUGAUCCAGUGGAAGGGGAGUAUGGUGGUAACUGGAAUUCCUUACUGUCUUCUACCCAACAACAAGAGCAAGGUAUUAUUGAAAUUGACCCUGUCCUUACUCAUCAUGCUGUUCUCACUCUCAGAACUAGAGAACUGGUCCCAGGCAUAAUUGUUUCAGACUUCACUACCUUAAGCAGUAGCCUCAAAGUGCACCCCACAGCUUUAUAGAAUAUGUCAUAGCCAGAAGCAUAUGAUCCACAGGGACUUGGGAAGACAUUGGUUUUGUGCAUGAGAGUAUCUGAUCAUGAGACUUCGAGGCCAGCACUGAUGACUUCACGGUAUGGGAUAUUGGUCAACACCAAAGACUCCUGGGUGCACACUUCCACGAACAGCUUCACUCCCAUGGGCUGUACAGCAAGAAAAACAUGAGGUUAGGGCAAGCAAUAAUUUCCAUUUGUGAUCCUAAAGCCUGGUUUUCUCAUCCUGAUACAGUAUUUGUUUAACUCUCAUCAUGAACUUAAGGAGUCAAUGAUUCUUUCCACACCCCCACAGGUCUACCUAUAAAAUAGGCAUCCUUUUAUGGAAUCAGAUAUUUAAGAGCCCAGAGAAAGUAUUGAGAAAGCACAAAAUCUUAGGAAAGCUGACACCUAUGUAUGUUGUGUUUCUUGUUUUGCUUUUGUUUUACAGUAUAUACUUUCUGUUGUAUCCUCAGGACCUGUCAAAGUACGUGUCACUUAGUAGGCAGGCAUGCAUGAAGUGUAAAAGAAUGAAUGAACCAGGGCUUUGGUAAUCAUUCACUCUUUCAACGCAAUCAAUAAUUUAAAUUUAAUUUAAUAAAUUUCGAGAUAGAGUUUCUCUCUGUAACAACCCUAGCUGUCCUGGAACUAGCUCUAUAGACUAGGAUGGACUUGCACUCACAGAGAUCCUCCUGCCUCUGCCUCCUGAGUGCUGGGGUUAAAGGCAAAUGCCACUACCUUCUGGUUCAAUACAUUUUUAAAAGUUUGCAAGGUAUCUGAAGAACUUCUUUUCUGCAUCCCUCUUUCUCAGUAAUUAGUUUACAAGCAUCUCAACUUGAAAUCACAAUCUGCAUUUCAUUUCAUGGGCAUAGUUGGCUGUGAAGUAGGAAUUCUGUGUCAUUGGCUGAUACCAGGCACUCACAUAGUUAAAUGGCUUCUAUUUUUAUAAUUAACAAACAGGGAGAGCAUGAAUGCCAUUUCUCACUACCACAAAUUAUGUAGUUGAGUUUCCUGUGUUUAGGGAGAUAAAAGGGGUCAGCCUAGGUGGAUGAGCCUCACCCUAGGAAACUAUGUUUGUGAUCAUAGUCUCUCCCAUGCCAGAUAAGCAGAGCACACUCUUCAUACCAUUCCUAAUAUAGGGUUUAAAGUAUGGAUCAGUGUAGAAGAAAAGGAAUGGAGAAGAGUUAGAGUUAGAUCUGGGUGGAACUACUCAGACUCACAUUUGACCUUUUCUCUGGAAACCUGGAACAGGAAGCCUGGUAAUACUAGAGCAGAAGGAAAGUGACAGAGAUGAUCAUGUAGAACAGGUGUGUACAUAUUACCAGAGCCAAGCAUCAAGCUAGGUAUGAACUGCUCUGCAUCUUCAUUGAUCAUAAAUAGAGAAGGCUUGAGCUCUACCUGUUCAGGUCCAACUAUUCUUCCAUGGGACUCAGGCAAUGGAAGAAGACCAAUCUGAUAGCCACAGCACCUUCUCUUGACAUUUGUUGCCUGUGAUGGCUUGAAUAUGAGAUACCCUCAUGGGCUAACUGUUAAAAACUUGGUCUCUAGCUAGUGAACUUUAUUUGAAAAGCAUUGAAAACUCUAGAGGGGGAUGGAAAACUAUAGGAUGUAGGUUCUAUAAACAUGUUCCGUGGAGUUUUGUCUGGCCUCAGGCAUCUUAAUGUUUUUCUACUUCUAGGUCACCAUAAGGUGAAAAGAUUCCUCACAUGCACCCACCUCUGUGAUAUUUUUUUUUGUCUUGCCCAGGGUGACAAAGCCCAGUGUGACAGAGCUGGCUUACUAUGCACUAAAACCUCUAAGAGUAUGAGACAGAGUAAAUCUUUCCUCUUUUAAACUGUUUCUCUUAGAUACUGUCACAAUGUCAGGAAACUAACACCAAAAAUUGAUAAGGGAAAAGUGAGGUCAUUUCUAUGACCAUUCCUCACUAUGUGGUUCAGAAGACAUUAGAAGUAAUUUGUGAGAGAAAUUUGUAAAAAGCAAGCUAGAGAGGCACUAGAGAAUUGUCAGGGUCUUAUCUGCACUUCUGAUGGGAUUUUAGCAUAUCAGAACAGUAAUGGAAACACAGACAGUGGAGACUCAACUCACAGUUUCAGAUAGGAAUAAAGACUCUAUUGGGAACUGAAGUAGAGACCUUUCCCUCAGACUUGGUAGAAAGCUGAAUUUAAGUAUGACAAACUAGUUCAUACAGUGAAGAAAUGUCAAGGCAAGCUAUCAUUCAGUAUGAUUAUUGCUUCUGCUUUUAGCCAAGUUUAUAAUGAAAAUUGGGAGCAAAGAGCAGAGGGGAGAGAUUUGAAAAACAAUUUGGCCAGAAAGAAAACUCAUUAGUACAUUUCUCAGUUCUCAUCAGAGAAGCUUCUUUUUGCAGUAGAUGGUAAUUAACACAAAGACACACAACUGGCCAAGGUGUGGAGAAUAAGAAAUUGAGGAAUCUCAGUCCUUAAAGAAACAUCUGUAUCAUAUCUGCCUCUCUAAAAUCUCAACAAUCACCAUGGAAGAGGAGGCUGAAAGAUUUCAAGAGCCAGAUGUCCUGGAAGAUUAAGAGGAAAUAAUGUUUUUCAGGCACAACGGGGAAGUACCACAUAUGAACUGACUGUGGCUGUGACAACAUACCAGCAUGGAGAAGGAGGUGGGCAUUAAGUCCCACACAGAGCUUGGAACCUAUUGAUGUAUAGCUACUGGGACAGGGAGAGUCAGUUUUCUUCUAGGGUGUGGUCCUUGGUUGGAAGACCAUGCAUCCAAGAGUAAGUGGGCAGCAUAAAUUGGACCUGAUACAUUUUUUUGUUAUUGACAUUUUAAAGUAAACACAAAUAGGUAGGUAGGGAAAGCAAGGUAGAUCUGUAAGAAGUUGGAAGUGGGUGAAUAUGAUCAAAACAUGGAAAAUUCUCAAAGAACUCUUUAAAAAAGAAAAUUGUGAAAAUAGAGAAUUGGGCAGUUCAAAAGAUUAAGACUACUUAUAGAGAAGCCAAAUACUUUACAUUAGGGCAAUAGGCAACACGACAAAGUGUCUCGGGAAUCUGUCAGGCCACGUAGAAUCAUGUAUAAAUCAAACUCACUUAAAGUCUUUUCUUUAAGAAGAAGCCCUAGGGCAUUGUCCUUGAACACAGCCAUAUAGGGAAGUUAUUAAAACAUGUAGACAUUUAAAUGACAUUGGACACUAUAGCUGCCAUUCAAGGCACCCCAUUACUGCUCAGGCUAGUGACAAAUCUUAACAUUAUUCACAUGAUGCUGGAAUUGGAAACAUUCAGGAUGCAAGAAUAAUGGUGUCAUGGAGGCAUCCAAUUAGACUUCAAGCUAAAGACUGACAUACUAUGGCAGAAAAUUUCUCAAUCUAGGCAAAGAAAUGAGCCUUCAAACAAAAGAGGCACUUAGAACCCCAAAAUAGAUGUGACCAGAGAAAAUGUACAAUGCAAAAAAUAACAAUCAAGAUGAAAAAGUUACAAAACAAAGAGAAACUAUUAAAACUUCAGUGUAAAAUGCUCAAUUCACAAAGACAAAAAAAAAAAAAACCAACAACAUCAGUAUAACAUUGCAGAAAACUAACUCUGGGAAAGUAUGGCAUGAUGUAUUUCAAAUCCUAAAAGUAAAUAAGUGCCAAUGGAGAUUGCUACAUCCAAAGCCAAAUUUAUCUUUUAAAAUCCAUAGAGAAUGAAAAACAUUUCAACACAAGUAUAAACAAAAGUAUUCAUGACCACCAAGCCAGUGUUGAAGAAGAUACUUAAAGGAAAUUUAAACACUAAGGUGGAGCAAUGACAACCUCAACCAUGAGAAUACAGGAAAAAAAUAAAUUUCCUAUUACUAUUAGAUGAACAAAGGAGAAUGGGAAUGAAUCAAUCAUGUCCAGAUUGGCAACCCACCAAACUCUCAUAAAGCAAUAGAGUAGAAACAAUAGAAUAAACAAUUGAGCCACCAGAAAAAAAAAAACAUCAAAGUUAAAGAAAUUAGUAAAUCCCUCUUCAUAAUAACUCUAAAUGUACAUGGUCUUAAUUAUCCAAUUAAAAGAUGAAGACUAGCUGUUUGGAUUUAAAAAAAUAAGGUCUAGCUCUUUGUUGUCUACCAGAAACACAUCUCACUGGCAAAGAUCCAUGCAGAUUGAAAAUGACAGGAUACAAGUAAUUUGCAAAGCAAAUGGAAACUAAAAACCUACACCUGACAAAGUAGAUUUCCAACAAAAGCUAGCCAGAAGCAAUAAGGAAGGUGACUGCACAUGUUAUUACACAGCAGUUUUCUCCUAGCUGAAAUAUUCUGUCUAGGAGGUAAACAAAAUUUCACAUGGCUGGGAACGAAUAAACUUGAAAGGUUCUCAAGAGUACCUCCCCAGCUUUAUAGAAUGAAUAAACCACUGAUAGAAGAGAUAAGAUGCAUAGGGGAGAUAUGGACCUGUCCUGCUUUCAGAGAGAGCUCCAGGUUUGCAGUUCUCAAGAGUCAUCAUCUAUGUUGGGGUUAGAUUUUUAGCGAUACAGCUGAUUUGAAUCAUACCUCCUACUGUAAGAAACCUCUUAUUCAUAUUCUGGUUUAUCAAGUUGGACUUUGGUGCAAUCGUUACUUUGAUCUGCCAUGGGUUUCUAGGGUAAGUGUGUGUGUGUGUGUGUGUGUGUGUGUGUGCUGCAUCUCCCCAGAAAAAGUCCCUCACACAAGGAUUACGAAGGAGACCAAUACAACAAUAUGUUAUAAUAACUGUAAAUACAAUUGCACCAAAGGUUGAUACCUCCAAUUUAAUAAGUAAAAUUCUAUUAAAUGAAUAAGAAGAACUAACAACAAAGUUUCCAAAACUCACCCAGAAAACAAGUGAUAUCAAAAACUGGUGAAAGUGCUGUCGAGACGAACUCUUAUAAGCUGCUGGUGAGGAUGUAAAUUAUUCUAGCCACUAUGAAAACUAGGAAGGAAGUAUUUCAAAAAGCUAAAAAUAAAACUCCCAUGUGGCCCAGUUUACCACUCUUGCCAGAAAAUCAUGGCAUAUUUGUAUACCCAUAUUUAUCAUUCAUACCAUUAGCCAUUCAACUAAGAUAUUGAACUAGUCUAGAUGCCUAUUGAUAGAUGAAUGGACCAAAAAAAUAUGUAUGUGACAUAUGAAUAUUAAUGAGUUGUGUAUAUAUAAUGAAAAUGGUAGGAACUAGAGAUCUUUGCGCUAAGCAAAAUAACUCAGAUUUAGAAAGAUAAAUUUUGCAUAUUUUCUCUCAUAUGCAAGCACAGGCAAUCCAAGAGGAGGGAGGACAUGUGCCUAUAAUCAGCAAGGACAUAGGGGUGGUCUCCCCAAGCUCAUCAGGGCUCAUGCACAUCACCAUACAUAAUGGCCAUGCCAGGCAUGGAGCUACAGGGCUUUUGCUCUGAUGGCUUUUGUUCUGGUUCUGGUUAGCCCUUUCCUCAUUAUUUCUAUAUUAUUCCCCUUGGACCUGUAGUUUGUAGUCUGUGCCACUAUUUACCAAGUGUGUGGUUCACUUUUGAUUUGACAGGGACUCACAGCUAAGAGUUUGCCAUGAGUCCCAGAGGAGACCUUGGGCUUGAACUUUAGAAUUGCAUUGGAAUGAAGUUUGUGGGAACUCUGAGAGAUGGACUGGAUGCAUUUCAUACCAAGAAAUGACCAUGUGUCUUUUAGAGACUUAGUGUUGGGAAGGUCAUGGAGGGAACAUGUAAUGUCCCCACAGGCUGAUUGCUGAAGCCUUGGUCCCUAGCUGGUUGCUCUGUCUUGUGAGAUGAUGGGCACUCAGAAGGAAAACCUGCCCAGAGGAAGUAGGUUAUAGGUCAUUAAAGAUGUGUCCUUUGGUGGGCUGUAUCUUAGCCCUUUUUGUCUUUCUCUCUAAUUUUUGGCCAACAAAGGGUCAAGAUGCUCUUCUGCACACUCCAUUACCAUGAAGCUUUCCUUGCCCAGAGACUCAAAGCAACAGUGACAGCCAAUCAUGGAAUAAAACCACUGAAACAAUAGGCCAAAGAAAUCCUUCCUUAAACUGCUUCUCUUGGGCACUCACCACAGUGGCAGAUGUACUAACACACUGCCUAGACUCUAGGAAAGACUGUCAGAGCUGCAGUAGAGCCAUAGGUAGAGCAUCUGCCUUUCCAUUAAACUGCUUCAGGUACCAGCUGGCAGUGGCAGACAGUGUCUGCUGCUAUGGUCCAUUGUGGAUACACAGCAGAACAGCUCUCAUCUAAGCAACGCAGACUUAAGAUGAGUGACUAGCAGAUCUGUACACACAGGACAUCAAAAUGAAAUCAAUUCCCUGCAAAUUUACAGAGAGAUUUCAUCUGAAUGUUCAUCUGCAGAGUUAGCUGACAAAAUUCUCCACCCAUCUGCCCAGCACAGACAAAGCAAUAAAGAUAUGCUCUCUCUGUCUAUCUCUCUCUCUUUACUUCUCUGUGUGUGUCUGUCUGUCUCUCUUUUGUGAGUGUGUGAGUGUGUGUGUGUGUGUGUGUGUGUGCGCGUGCACACAUUCGUGCACACACAAAGGUACCACAGCACUGGACAUCAGUCCUAUAUUUCACUCUUUUUGAAACAGGAUCACUAUUUGGCUGUUGUUUAUUGCUGCACAUGCCAAGUUAACCAGUCAUGAACUGCAGGGGUUUCUCCUGUCUCUGCCUUUCAUCUUACCUUAGGAAUGUUGUUUUUACAGACACAGACCACCAUAUCCAGCUUUGUGUGGAUUCGGGGAUGAUAAUUUAGGUCCUCACACUAUCGAGGGAAAUGGUUUAUCCACUGAGCCACCAGUUCCCUAUUCCUGGAGAUAUCUUUUAAGUGACAGUGUAACAAAACCUGAUAUGAAUAUCUUUUCUGUGCAUUUCAGUUUAUUGUGCUCUGAUGGCUGCAGUGACAGUAGCCAGUGCCCCUCCACACUCUUUAAUAAAAUGCUCUGUGAAAAAAAAAAAAGCAAACAGGCUAGCUACAGGGUGAACACCAGUCAUCACUCCACUAUGCAGUCUGACACACUCUUGUUCUUCAGGAUCUUAUCUUAUUGACUGUCCCAUAAACACCUUGAAAUCAUUAGUUGAGUGUUUCCCCCCACCUGUAGGAAUUUGCAGUGCAAUACUGAUCAUUAUGAGGAAUGAUGUAGACGGCUCACCAAUAUUCCUCUGCCACCAAAAUUAGUCUAUUAUUUAUGUUUGCUUUGGGCAAUUAUCAAUGAACCAAGAUAAAUAAAAAUAAUUGGCUUUCAACUGGCUAAAUGGAUUUGUUAAUUAUUCACCAGAAAAUUAAUCAGCCCCGUUUAUUUAAGGGGAGGUCAUGGAAGAAUCUCCCUAUACUCAUCAUUUGAAAAUAUUGUUGUAAACAAGGGACAAAGUCAAACAAAAGCCAGGAAUAUAGUGAGGAAUGAAGGAUAAGUUGAUAUCUAAGCAAACCAAUUGACAAGACACUAGGCCAAGAAAAUAGACUCACUGGUUCUGUCCUCAAGGAACUUUGAAUUGAGGAAAAUAGUCCAGAUGCUAAUGGAAAUGAGGGAAUAACGUGGUUACUGCAGGUUCAAAUCAAAGGAUCUAAAAAGAAACCAGUCUUUUUGGGUAGAAGGACAUGACUUAGAAAGCUAUAGUAUAUAAAUUUUAAAUUGGUAUACACUGACUUUCCUGGUGGCACAAGCUCAUUUGUUAAAUCAGAAACAUGUAUGAUCGAAAUUUUGAGUGACAAAUAAUUCAGUCUCUCAUAGAUGAACACAAUCUUUGUGUGCAUUCCAUCAGAGUCAAUUUUGUACAAACAAGGAUUCUGAGUAGUGUAAAAUCACUUUAUACAAUAGUCUUAUGGGUAAUAUGUGUGAGCUAGUUCAGCAAUUCUUGGCACAUAAAGAGCUCUCAUAUAAAAGGAAGAUUUUAUGCAUCUGUUUAACUUCAGGUUGCAAAAAUAUCUGGGUAAUUCAGAGCUUAUCCUCACAAAACCUGAAGGAAUAUACACAUCCAAGACAUCCAACAGUGGUGAUGCUGUAUGCUGCUAGGUGCUGCCUUCAUUUGAAAAGUCCCAGGUAGAAAAGAAUAGAGAGACCGUGACACUGGAAUUGAAGGAUCCUGUGGUAUCUUCAGACCUUAAAAACUGCAAGAUAAUGUGAAAAACUCUGUUACUUAAUGAAAUCUAUUUUAUUUUUUGAUUUGUGGGUUUAUGUGUGUGUGUGUGUAUGAGUAUAGAUCUUCAAAAUUGCCUGUAUUUGAAAAUACUUAUCUUGGAAAUAGUCCCUUAAAAUGUAUCUCAAAAUUUCCUCUAAAAACAUUUGCUUGCUUGCUUCUCUAAGAUGCAAAAGAGAAAGACUGCAUGUGAAAUCCAACUGCAUCUCAUAAUAGAAGCCUGACCUUCAGAAAUGAGGUUAAACUCAUUGAAUUUUGUUAUCUUUAUCUAUGAAGUAAAGAAACAGCACACAGACAAAGGAGCAUCAUGAAGAUGAAAAGGCUCAUUGCUGCCCGUACUGCCUGAUACAUAUUAGGUCUUAAUACACAGAAUCAGGUAUCAUAAUUAUUAGUAAUAUUGCCUUGGUCUCCCCAUCCUUGUUUCAGCACUCCACUCCCCUUCUUUUUCUUCCCAGUAGUUCUCUCCUUUCACAUCCCCAACUUAAUCCCUCAAGGUACCAGGAGCAGUGUCAAAUUCUACUGUCCCAUUCCUUCUUGGAUGUUCUCAGUGGUGAUUGAGAAAGAGACUGGCCAGAGUGUGCAGGGUAUCAAAUAUAAACAGAAAGGCAAGAGAGAGAAAGUAAAAGAAGACAGGGAGCAAAGAACAGAACAGACCAGCUCUUUCCCUCCUCCAGUCCUUCACCCCACACUACCACAAAGAGGAAUAACACAUGAGGAAAAGAUACUGUCCCAAGAUCAGGUAAGGAAACCUUAGACUGAAGCACUAUCUCAUACAGAAAGAGCCAGAAGGAAAUGAGAAACAAGAAAGAAACUGCCAGACUCAGAGAAAGGGCAAUGAAAGAGAUAGAUGAUCUUAAAAAAAAAAAAGAUAACAAAUGAGGCUCUGAUAAGUUUAAUUUUCUAGGCCUGGGUGAGCUUUGCCUAAGCUCCAGCUAAAUGGAAAUAUAAAUAGCUGAGAAAGACGCUGGUGGAUAGGAACUGACAUAAUGGACUAUAUUGACUCUCAGAAAGAUAGGAGGGACCUUCUUAAAAGCAUAAUAUUUUACAUGGUCAUUUAUCAGACUUCCUCUGGCUGAGUAGAAUCCUUGGGGCAGAGGAGGUAAGUGCAUCGGCUAAUCUUAGUGUUUUGUUUAAAGUGCACCCUGCACUGGGCUAGAAAUCAGUUAGCUUUACUAGGCAGAUGGGGCAGGGGGGAAGAACUCCUAUCUCCCAGCAGCAUUCAUUAGCUAACUACUGAACAGAAGAUCCAACACCCACUCUUCUCCACCCACUAUGUGCCUCUUAACCUAUCACCUCUCCUUCGGGGUUCCUCAUUUGAAGAACCAUUGAAGAUUUUUUAUCUUCCUCGUCUCAUAGAGUCUAACUAAUUCGUGAGCCCUGUAGGUGUUUAUCCAUUGGACACACUCACCUGUUAAAAUCAUUCACUCUUCCCCAGUUGUAGAUGCAUCUCUACACAUCCCUCAGGUUCAUGAACCUGAAUUUCUGCCUGUACUUAGGGAUGGGAGUGUUCUAGUUUGCUUUCUGUUGUUGUGAUAAGAGAAGCAAUUUAGGGAUGAAGGGAUUUAGCUUACCUUAGAGUCCUUCCAUCAUCAAGAGAAGUCAGACAGGAACCCAAGGCAAGAGCAGACACAGGAACCAUGGAAGAAAGCUGCUUACCGACUUGCUCUCUGGUUUGCUCAGCAUUUUUAUACAGUGCAGGUCCAUCUGCUAGGAAUGAUACUUCUCCAUGUCCUGGGCCCUCUCAAAUCAAUUAGCUACCAAGAAAAUGCCCCACAAAUGUGCCCAGGGGUCAAUCUGAUGGAGGUAAUUUGUCAGGUCAAGUUUCCUCUUCCCAAGUGACUUUAGUUUGUGUCAAGUUGACAACACAAACCAACCAUUACAGGGAGGUUCCCUAAGUUUUCCAGCCCUUCCCACCCAGCAUAGCCUUUGACACAGUUCUUCUAAGUAGUUGGAGCCUGCUAGAAGCCCCUUAUGUAUUUUUUAAAUACUUGUCUGUUUCUUCUUUUGAGAACUGCUUGUUAACCUUAUUAGCUCAUUUACUGAUUGAUAGGUGUGUGUGUGUGUGUGUGUGUGUGUGUGUGUGUGUGUGUGUGUGUUUGAUUUUUUCACUUCUCAGGGAAAUUAAAAUUAAAACUUUUUUAAGAUUCUAUCCCAACACAAUCAGAAUGGUAAAUAUCAAGAAAAUAAAUAACAACAAAUGCUAGGAAGGAUGUGAACCGAGAAGAAUCCUGAUUCUUUGCUGAUGGGAGUGUAAACUAGCAUAGCCAUUCUUAAAAUUGGUAUGGCAUUUUCUCAAAAGAUAAAAAUAGAUCUACCAUCUGACCCAGCUAUAUUACUCCUAGGCAUAUAGCCCCACACCCUCAAUGACUCUAUCCUAGCACAGAGACACUUGUACAUCCAUUUAAUGCUUCCUCACAAUAGCAAGGAAAUUGAACCAGCCUGGAUGUCCAUCAGCAGAUGAACUGAUAAAGAAAUUGUGGCAUAUACACACAAUUGAAUGUUAACUAGCUGUUAAAAAUGAAAUUUUCAGGGACCUAAAUGAUUCUAGAAAAUAUUAUAUUAUUAUGUGUAAGUGACCCAGACUCAAAGGUGACUCAGAAAGACAAAAACCAUUUUCACUCUCAUAUGUAGAUCCUAACUUGGCAGACCCUAACUAAACGUUUGUAUAUAUGUAAAUAAGGGAGUGUGAGAGUGGUUAUAUACUUUGAAAAUAGAUAGUCAACAUGAAAGGGAAGCAAGAGGUGUUUAGAAGGGAAGGUAUUGAGGGCAAAGGGUCACAAGUGACAUGAAUAUAAAAAGGAAGAUACUGAGGGUGGGAGGGAUACAAGAUGGAGAAGGGGUUGGAAGACUAGAGAGUAAGAAAAACAAGGACAAAUUUUAUUUGAAAAAUUCCCUACUGUAAUUGAAUGCUCCAUGUGCAAACAACAAUUUUAAAAGAGAGAAAAAAAGAGGACUAUGAUGCAGAGGACUAAACUGGAAAGAGGGUUGGAAGAUGUUCACAGCUCAUUCUGAGAUAUGUUAUCUGAGAGCCAAGAGCCAACUGAGGGCUUAGUAAAAUGCUAAUGUUUCAUGAGUUAGAUCUAAUCAGUGAAGGUAAUCAUGACUUUCUGGUGUACUGGGUCCAUAAAACACUCUUCUUGGUAUUUCCCAUCUUUGGCACAAAGGGAGGUGUUCUAGAUGAUGCUGUGAUUAUUUGCAUUUUGACAGUUUUAGAGGCUGGCAUAUUGACACAUAUCAGUGGGUUAGUCCUGAAUCUCUAGAGAAACAAUUAACAGGAUAAAUAUAUAUGGAAUAUAUUAGAUAUGGUCAAAGUAGUCAUACAAUGGCUAUCUCACACCAGAGAAAUUGAGAACCAGGUAGUUGUUGAUCCAUGCAGUGGGAUGUCUUAGCAGUCUGGUGCUGAAGGCCUGGAGGAAUCCUGGAGAGCCACUCUGCAGUCCAUGUUGGAAAACUGAAGAACCUGCCUCUACUAUCUGUAAAGGAUUCACCAGCAACAGUAGCAGUAGGAUAUAUGAACUCACCAGUGAAAGUGAAAGCCAAAUAAGAGGAUAAAAAAGCAAAAAAACCUUUCCUUCUUCCAUGCCUUUUUAUGUGACAAGACAAGCUACCACAGACAAGCCCAGCUUCAAACUCUCAUUAUGUUCUCUUCUAGGAAGCCUAGGUUGUGUUGACAGUUAAAACUAAACAUCACAGUCAGAUUUACCCUAGUCCAUCUGAGCAGGAUUGUAAAGUCUACCAGACCUAAGCACUCAUCCCUUGAAGAAUCACCCUAAAGACUGCAUUGGAAUGUGGGGACUUUCUUAGAUUUCCCACCCCCAAGUUUUUUCAUACCCCACACCAAACAGAUUAGCACUCUCUCACUCCCAACAGCAUCGUCCUUGUCCACUUCUGCUACUUGGUGAAAUAAUUUCUUGUGCUCGGAAUUUCCAUAACACAAAGAUUGUCACUUAAAUCCAUCAUUCUCUUGCAUCACUUCAUCUCUUCAGGCAAGCAUUAUCUUCCCUAUUCUUCCCACUGGUACAGCUAAAGGUUCUGGAUGCUGAGCAGACACAGGUAGAGUGAGCAAGACAAGCCAUCUGGAGAGACUCACAGACCAGCACAGACUGAAGUUCACUGACUGCCCUCAGGUUCCUUUUGUGCUUCUUGUAACCCAGAUUUGGAGUUGGAGAAAAC